AGCACUUGUAUGUGUUUUUGUUCAACUGGCAAAGACAGGGAAGGCACGUGAAAAAUAAAUCCUCUCUUGAAACCUAGACUCAUGGUUCAAUAUGAGUUUUGGUACAUACAAGAAGGAAUAUC
ensembl:snoRNA